rnacentral:rRNA from 1 species
ACCCUACUACUAGAGGGAUAGCCCGGCGAAAGUCGGAUUAAUACUCUAUGUUCUUCGUAGAAGACAUCUGAAAUGAAGCAAAGGUUUACCGGUAUAGGAUGGGGAUGCGUCUGAUUAGGUUGUUGGCGGGGUAACGGCCCACCAAGCCCACGAUCAGUAGGGGUUCUGAGAGGAAGGUCCCCCACAUUGGAACUGAGACACGGUCCAAACUCCUACGGGAGGCAGCAGUGAGGAAUAUUGGUCAAUGGACGAGAGUCUGAACCAGCCAAGUAGCGUGCAGGAUGACUGCCCUAUGGGUUGUAAACUGCUUUUAUGCGGGAAUAAAGUGAGGCACGUGUGCCUUUUUGUAUGUACCGCAUGAAUAAGGACCGGCUAAUUCCGUGCCAGCAGCGGC